rnacentral:rRNA from 1 species
UUAAUGUCCAGGAGAGUGGCCCUCCGCAUGGAGGGUUGACUAGAGAUUUAUCGGUAUGGGAUGAGCUUGCGUCCGAUUAGCUAGUUGGCGGGGCAACGGCCCACCAAGGCGACGAUCGGUAGCCGGCCUGAGAGGGUGAUCGGCCACAUUGGGACUGAGAUACGGCCCAGACUCCUACGGGAGGCAGCAGUAGGGAAUAUUGCACAAUGGGGGAAACCCUGAUGCAGCAACGCCACGUGUGGGAAGAAGCAUUUCGGUGUGUAAACCACUGUCAUGAGGGAAUAAGGCCCGCCUCCGGGCGGGAUUGAAUGUACCUUGAGAGGAAGCACCGGCAAACUUCGUGCCAGCAGCCGCGGUAAUACGAGGGGUGCAAGCGUUGUUCGGAAUUACUGGGCGUAAAGGGAGCGUAGGCGGAGAUUCAAGCGGAUUGUACAAUCCCGGGGCCCAACCCCGGCUCUGCAGUCCGAACUGGAUCUCUUGGAUAGUUCAGGGGCAGGCGGAAUUCCUGGUGUAGCGGUGGAAUGCGUAGAGAUCAGGAAGAACACCGAUGGCGAAGGCAGCCUGCUGGGGACUUAUCGACGCUGAGGCUCGAAAGUGCGGGUAGCAAACAGGAUUAGAUACCCUGGUAGUCCGCACCGUAAACAAUGCAUACUGGGUGUCCGGGGGUUCCCCCGGGUACCGUAGCCAACGCGUUAAGUAUGCCGCCUGGGGAGUACGUACGCAAGUAUGAAACUCAAAGGAAUUGACGGGGGCCCGCACAAGCGGUGGAGCAUGUGG